rnacentral:rRNA from 1 species
CAGUCGCCGCGGUAAUACGAAGGGUGCAAGCGUUAAUCGGAAUUACUGGGCGUAAAGCGUGCGUAGGCGGUUUGUUAAGUCUGCUGUGAAAUCCCCGGGCUCAACCUGGGAAUGGCAGUGGAUACUGGCAAGCUAGAGUGUGUCAGAGGAUGGUGGAAUUCCCGGUGUAGCAGUGAAAUGCGUAGAGAUGUGGAGGAAUACCGAUGGCGAAGGCAGCCCCCUGGGCCAAUACUGACGCUCAUGCACGAAAGCGUGGGGAGCAAACAGGAUUAGAUACCCCCGUAGUCCCUGUCUCUUAUAC